rnacentral:rRNA from 1 species
UGAGUAACCUGCCCUUGACUCUGGGAUAAGCCUGGGAAACCGGGUCUAAUACCGGAUAUGACUCCUCAUCGCAUGGUGGGGGGUGGAAAGCUUUUUGUGGUUUUGGAUGGACUCGCGGCCUAUCAGCUUGUUGGUGGGGUAAUGGCCUACCAAGGCGACGACGGGUAGCCGGCCUGAGAGGGUGACCGGCCACACUGGGACUGAGACACGGCCCAGACUCCUACGGGAGGCAG